rnacentral:lncRNA from 1 species
GGAAGACUGGAGACUAGCCUGAUGUAAACAACCAAUCGACUGUCUGGUGAGACCUUUUCAUUGUGUUUGACAGAUACAUGUAAGUUAGGGUUAGUGGUGAAAAGGUUUGUGUAUAAAUGUGUCAGUUGGAGUUUUGUCAGUUGACAGUAGGAGUUGUCAGUUGGUGUCAUAAGAAUUUACAAGAAGAGGAGGCAGGUUGGUGAGCUGCCCUGGCCCUGCUUGGAGGUAAAAAGACUUGAGCAAGCAUGUGUGGAACCAGAGCAGACUUUGGUGGCCUUCUAUCACAGAGUUGGCUGAGGCAGCCGUGUAGGAAUGACAACAGUGGAAGGCUACAAAUCCCCAGAAGCCCCUGGGAAUCGUUAUAAAAAUGACAUUAAGCUCAUAGACAGGGGCUGUACAUGAAGAAUAAUUAACAUCAAUUAUUUUUCUUCCCUCCACUCUUCAGUCAGACUUGCUGCAAUGAAAGUAGUAAGACUGUUAAAAUAAUCUGUGUAAUUAAACAAUUGUGCAAUACAAGUCAGGCUUUAUUUUUUGUUUUUAAUUUGGUACUGCAGAAUUGAACUCCAGGCUUUACUGUGUUA